AGGAGGGGAUUAUUCAAGGCUGUGGGUCAUAGGCUUGGGAAUCUCAGGGGCCAUCUUAGAGUUCUGCCUAACAUAAGAAGUAAUUUCAGAUCCCUUCUGAACAAGCAUUUAAGUUUUGGGAAACAAGUGGCUAAGGAGAGAAUCAUGUUUCAUUCCACUGUUCCACAUUCAGGGAGUGUGCGUGUGCGGCGAGUGUAGGAUGAGAGGCGUGUGGCUGAUGUUCCCUCCCUGCCUACACUCGGUGUGACUCUGCUACCUGGAUGUACCUGUUAAUCAUACAGGGUGGCCCUUAGCUGUUUAACCAGGUGCUCAGUUGAAGAAACAGCAAUUCUUCUCUAAGACUGGAUGAAAAAUUGGCUGUGUUCAGUUUAUUGACAGCUGGUAGAUCUCCAAUAUAGCACUUUCCUAAGAGAUUUUCAAAGGAUGACAUCCAAGGGAAGUGGGAGACCACAGAUGAACCUACAGAGAUGGGCACGGUGUCACCAGAUGGAGAGAGUGGAAGAGGACAUUUCAGGAGGAGGUGUGGCAUGCACAGAAACGCGGAUGCACACAAUGAAACAGUCAUGAAGUGGCCGUCUGGCUGGAGCCCAGAGUUCAGCUAAGUGAAUCUGAAGAGGUCCAAGCAAGAGACUCAUCUCCCGGCACUGUUUGAACGACGCCUUGGGAAGGUCCUGCAGCCCCCGUAGCACGGACAAGGGUGCGCCUCCAACCAGCUGGAGCAUGAAAAGGCCGCGGAUAGCCUACACAUAUGUUGCCGGACUAGGAAGAUGGGCAUUGCAUCUCCGUGUGCAAAGUGUCUACAGAUUCAGAAGUCAUUGCAUCUCCGUGUGCAAAAUGUCUACAGAGUCAGAAGUCAUUGCAUCUCCAUGUGCAAAGUGUCUACAGAGUCAGAAGUCGGCCUGGCAAACCAGAGCUCAGAGU
rnacentral:lncRNA from 1 species